rnacentral:rRNA from 1 species
UACGGAGGGAGCUAGCGUUAUUCGGAAUUACUGGGCGUGAAGCGCACGUAGGCGGCUUUGUAAGUUAGAGGUGAAAGCCUGGAGCUCAACUCCAGAAUUGCCUUUAAGACUGCAUCGCUUGAAUCCAGGAGAGGUGAGUGGAAUUCCGAGUGUAGAGGUGAAAUUCGUAGAUAUUCGGAAGAACACCGGUGGCGAAGGCGGUCUGCUGGGCAGUUGCUGACACUGAGGCGCGACAGCGUGGGGAGCAAACAGG